rnacentral:lncRNA from 1 species
CUACUUCCUCAUUCACUUGUCUUGCAGAUAGAAAUACACUCUUUCCUACCUCAACCUCAGGAAAUAUCACAGUCUUAUCAAAACAGUUAAUAGAAACUCGGUUAAACACCAACCAGUUCAUUCCUAAGAUAACGUCAAUCUGCACUAACGGAAGACACACAAGGUCUAUCCCAAAGUCUCUACCAAAAAUACUCAAAGGACAAUUCAAACAAACUGAAGUAGUAG